AUGGACGGCUUCCCUCUCGACCAUGAGUUUUCGGAGGACUACGAGCUAGAGGAAGAGGACGAGUGCGACAUCAGAGGAGGGCCUCUGUUCGAGGACGAGCUCGCCAACCAAGCCGCCGUGUCGAAGCCGAAGCGCAAGAGCAAGCGGACCAAGGCAUACACGGCGGCCGAGGACAAGCUUCUUUGCGAAUGUUGGAGAGACAUUGGGCAAGACCCCAAGAUGGGCGCCGAACAAUAGCAUUCAACUUUUUGGAUUCGUGUCUACCAUGAGUUCCAUGAGCGCAAGAAGUUUCUGCCAUACCAAAUAGUCAGUGCGCGCGGGUGGGUGUCCAUUUCGUAG
rnacentral:rRNA from 1 species